rnacentral:rRNA from 1 species
GGGGGCAGCGGGCGGACGCUAACCAUGCAGUCGAGCGGCAGCGGGAGAAAGCGUGCUUUCUUGCCGGCGAGCGGCGGAGGGGGAGUAAUGUCUGGGGAUCUGCCCGAUGGCGGGGGAUAACCACUGGAAACGGUGGCUAAUACCGCAUAAUCUCUGUGGAGCAAAGUGGGGGACCUUCGGGCCUCACGCCAUCGGAUGAACCCAGAUGGGAUUAGCUAGUAGGUGGGGUAAAGGCUCACCUAGGCGACGAUCCCUAGCUGGUCUGAGAGGAUGACCAGCCACACUGGGACUGAGACACGGCCCAGACUCCUACGGGAGGCAGCAGUGGGGAAUAUUGCACAAUGGGCGCAAGCCUGAUGCAGCCAUGCCGCGUGUAUGAAGAAGGCCUUCGGGUUGUAAAGUACUUUCAGCGGGGAGGAAGGCGGCAGCCUGAAUAAUGUUGGCGUUUGACGUUACCCGCAGAAGAAGCACCGGCUAACUCCGUGCCAGCAGCCGCGGUAAUACGGAGGGUGCAAGCG